GAAAAAAGCUAUCACAUAUUUUCAUAGGAAAUCAACUUACAGAUAAUGCAUAAGUUAUAAAACAUCUAGACAUGUACACAAUUGCUAUAUCUUAUGUUUGAGAUGCAAAAAUUAACACACAAAUUCUUGCUAGAAAGAAGGUAAACAUUGUGCUACAUAUUUAUCAGACUUAAAUGAUGAUGACCAAUACAACAAGCAUGCUUAUCUGGGACAAAUGGACAGCCUUAUUUAAUUAAAAAAAAGAACAAUAAGGUUUCUUUACAACCAAAACUUAUAUAUAAUGGACAUGAAGGACAAAAAAGUAGUAAUAAAAGACUGGCAAUUCAAACUUACCAGUUCAGACAGAAGGGAUGAC
rnacentral:misc_RNA from 1 species